GUUACUUUAGUUCAUAUUCAGUCUAAUGUUAGUCAGUUUAAAGUGUUCUCUUCUUUAGUGUAACUAACCUGGAGGUCACAACUGCCUGUUCAUUUUCAUGUGAAGCAGUUUGACCGAGAUUUGAACCGGGCUCAGACCGUAGAACAGAUAUCACAUGUGGAACUGGGUUGCUAGUUGUUUAGGUUCUAGAAAAAUACCUAUCAUUUUGGUGCCGAAACCCGGGAUCUCUCACAUCGACCGCUGUCAGGCAGAGGAAGACGCGCUGAAUCCAUGGAUGGCCAGAAGUCAUUUGGACCUGGAAAGAAAGACCCAGGAAGUAAAUUCUUCGCUGGGCCAGCAUGUCAAGGGCCGACUUUGUCUGCCAACGGCGGAGUGACGAGAUCCAACCGGACAGUGCGAAAACUACAGAAACGUAAGUGAAUUGUAAAAUGUUUCAAACGAAUGAUACUAAAAUAAAGUCGACAUAAAUAAAGGGUUGGAGUCCCAGUUGCAACUAAAUGCUACUAAAAUUGAGGGUUGGAGUCCCAGUUGACAUUGGCACUUGAUUCAACUAAAUGCUUUUGGGUUGAAGUCCCUGUUGACGUCGUUUCAACUAAACAAAGGAAAGGCUCUUAGAGCCGCCUGUUUUUGGGAGACCCCUUAAGGGUAAGUCCUCAGGCGGAUAGGAAGCUUGUCAUUGCUGUGUGGUUUUGAUUUUUUGAUGGGUAAAAUAUGACUGGUGCUGAGUUUUCUGAAAGUACUACUUACAAGGCAAAACCAGAUCAUGUUGCGCUAAAUCAUAGAGUCAUUGCUGAUAUUGCUGGUUUGCUACUGCUGCUUUGAUGUGUGUGUGCGUGAAAGAGUAGUGUGAGAGUGAUUGGAGGUUUAAAUAUUGCUCUGUAUUUUACCUCAGUGGGAUUAAACAGCAGACUUCUUGUGGAUGCAAUAUGCAAGAUUCUCCCACUCGAAAGAGUUGAAGCGGGGAAUAUCACAACAAGGUAUUUUAAUUGCUGGCCCACUGAAAAGAUCUCCAGUUCAUAGGACUCCCUAGGAGUCAACGAACCUGGACCAAAUUUAAAUAAAUUCAAAUAAAUAAUAUUUUCAAGCUGAAAUUGCAAGUGUUUUAAAUAUGGGAAAUAAACAUUCUUGUAAUUCCUCACUCGCUGAGGGCCCCAACAGGGAUGAAAAGUGCAUGCUGUCCAGGUUUCCUGGUAGCACUGUACACAUGAAAAAAUGGAGAAAGAAAUAUAAAAUUGAUGGAAAGCUAGAAAUUGAUCAAUGGCAAACAAUUGUGGGAAUUUUGGAGAGUAGUGUAGAAAGAAAAAUGGGUAUAAAAA